rnacentral:rRNA from 1 species
UGAGGGAAAGCUGCAAAGUACUCUGAAGAGAGAGUUCAAAAGGACGUGAAGCCGUCUGCAGGGAAACGGGUGAGACCGCACGGUAGACCCGCGGCGGAUUCAGCUCAGAGGGUCGGGGGUGCUGGCGGUUUUGAACGGGGCCUCGGUCUCGUCUCUGGCUGUCGGUGUCUCUCUCCGUCCUUCCGGGUGCACUUCCGCGCCAGUGGGUCGCGCAGGGCCCGACUCUACGGCCGUCUGAAGCCCGGCGAGGAGGUGACGGGGUCUUUACGGAUCCCGAGUUUAACUCGUCGGCGCGGAGACCGGCUGCGGGGUCGAGGAACGUCUGUCCGUCGCAAGGCGCGUGGG